rnacentral:rRNA from 1 species
AAUGAACGCUGGCGGCAUGCCUAACACAUGCAAGUCGAACGAAGUCUUCGGACUUAGUGGCGCACGGGUGCGUAACGCGUGGGAAUCUGCCCUUGGGUACGGAAUAACUCAGAGAAAUUUGUGCUAAUACCGUAUAAUGUCUUCGGACCAAAGAUUUAUCGCCCAAGGAUGAGCCCGCGUAAGAUUAGCUAGUUGGUGAGGUAAGAGCUCACCAAGGCGACGAUCUUUAGCUGGUCUGAGAGGAUGAUCAGCCACACUGGGACUGAGACACGGCCCAG